AAAAGAAAGUACACCCUCUUUGAAUUCUAUGGUUUUAUAAUAUAAUCAUAUAUAAAUUAUAUGUUUGGUAAGAGUCUCUGUGGCUGACUCUAAUUUUCAGAAUUACUUUUACAGAAGUACUAGUUCCUCUCUCCAUCAACUCCUCCUACGCAGACCCACAGUUAAGCUUAUAUCCUAAUAGGGGAAAAGAGAUGUCACUCCAAGACCACAACUGAUAUAUUUUGACCCUGCGUAAUUAAGCAUUGUAUACUUUAGGCAUCUAAUCAACUUAAAGGACC